CAUUCAAAUCCAGACCUGCGUCCUGCUGACUGGAGGCGGGCGUCUCUAGUGCGUCGGUCUCAUCAGAUGAUGCUGCGUGACUCUCUGUCGGCUCGGGGUUGAUCUCUUCAGCACCUUCUGGAUGUGGAGAUGAAGGUCAUUCAAAUCCAGACCUGCGUCCUGCUGACUGGAGGCGGGCGUCUCUAGUGCGUCGGUCUCAUCAGAUGAUGCUGUGUGACUCUCUGUCGGCUCAGGGUUGAUCUCUUCAGCACCUUCUGGAUGUGGAGAUGAAGGUCAUUCAAAUCCAGACCUGCGUCCUGCUGACUGGAGGCGGGCGUCUCUAGUGCGUCGGUCUCAUCAGAUGAUGCUGUGUGACUCUCUGUCGGCUCAGGGUUGAUCUCUUCAGCACCUUCUGGAUGUGGAGAUGAAGGAACCGUGUCCUUCAGACGGGAAAUGGUGAAUCCUCUGGCCUGAAUCUCCUCCAGGAUUUCCUCUGAUUUCAACACCGUGUUACUGCUGAAAUGAUACCUUUGCAUUCGGUGUUGGGUUUAAUGAUUGCGAGUGUGUCCUCUGGUGGGAAGAAGAAGCUGAUCUCCAUCUCCGCCUCCUCUGAGCUUCUGCUGCCGUGCAGCUGGUUAAUACUGGAGUUCCCAUUACUGAACUGAGCUCGCAAACUACAUCAAAACCACACAGAGAGAAACGGUCACAAUCAAGUGUGCACCUGACCAUCUAAACCAGUGGUUCACAAC